rnacentral:rRNA from 1 species
UACGUAGGGUGCAAGCGUUAAUCGGAAUUACUGGGCGUAAAGCGUGCGCAGGCGGUUUUGUAAGUCUGACGUGAAAUCCCCGGGCUGAACCUGGGAAUGGCAUUUGGGACUGCAAGGCUGGAGUGUGGCAGAGGAGACUGGAAUUCCUGGUGUAGCAGUGAAAUGCGUAGAUAUCAGGAGGAAUACCGAUGGCGAAGGCAGGUCUCUGGGCUGACACUGACGCUCAUGCACGAAAGCGUGGGGAGCAAACAGG